UGGGCUAUCGCCAAAUGGUAAGGCAACGGACUCUGACUCCGUCAUUUUCAAGGUUCGAAUCCUUGUAGCCCAGCUA
rnacentral:tRNA from 38 species